AUGGAUGUUAAGACUGCUUUCCUAAAUGGAGAGUUGGACGAGGAAAUUUAUAUGGAACAACCAGAUGGGUUUGUACUAGAUGGUCAGGAAGAGAAAGUGUGCAAGUUGCUGAAGUCUUUGUACGGACUUAAGCAAGCACCCAAACAGUGGCAUGAGAAGUUUGAAAGAACUUUAACAGCUGCAGGCUUUGUUGUGAACAAAGCCGACAAAUGUGUGUACUAUCGCCAUGGUGGGGGUGAGGAAGUUAUCCUGUGCUUGUAUGUCGAUGACAUACUGAUUUUCGGAACAAAUCUGAAAGUUAUUAAGCAGGUCAAGGAUUUCCUAUCUCGUUGUUUUGAGAUGAAGGAUUUAGGAGUGGUUGAUGUCAUUCUGAACAUCAAGUUGUUGAGAGACGAUGAUGGUGGGAUUACUUUGCUUCAAUCUCACUAUGUGGAAAAGAUCUUGAGUCGCUUUGGCUAUAGUGACUGCAAGCCCUCUCCAACACCAUAUGAUGCUAGUGUGUUGCUUAGAAAGAAUCGAAGAAUUGCUAGAGACCAAUUGAAGUAUUCUCAGAUUAUUGGCUUGCUUAUGUACUUAGCCAGUGCUACAAGACCUGACAUCUCUUUUGCUGUUAGCAAACUGAGUCGGUUUGUUUCAAAACCAGGAGAUGUGCAUUGGAAAGCUCUAGAAAGAGUUUUGCGUUAUUUGAAAGGCACUGCAAAUUAUGGAAUUCACUACACCGGGCAUCCAAAGGUGCUUGAAGGGUAUAGUGACUCAAACUGGAUCUCAGAUGCUGAUGAGAUAAAGGCCAUGAGCGCUUAUGUAUUCACUCAUGGAGGUGGCACUGUUUCUCGGAAGUCUUGUAAGCAGACCAUCUUAACGAGGUCAACAAUGGAAGCAGAACUCAUAGCACUAGAUACAGCUACGGUCGAAGCAGAUUGGCUUCGUCAGCUCUUGAAUGACUUACCGGUUGUUGAGAAACCUGUACCGGGUAUCCUUAUGAACUGCGACAAUCAAACUGUGAUCACGAAAGUGAGAAGCUCAAAGGAUAACAUGAAGUCAUCAAGACACGUUCAGAGAAGGUUAAAGUCUGUCAGAAAAAUGAAAAACUCCGGAGUUAUUCCAUUGGAUUAUAUCCAAACGUCUAAAAAUCUGGCAGAUCCUUUUACUAAGGGUCUAUCAUGUAAUGUGAUAGAUAAUGCAUCGAGGGAGAUGGGUAUGAGACCCACA
rnacentral:rRNA from 1 species